rnacentral:rRNA from 1 species
UACGAAUGGGGCAAGCGUUGUUCGGAAUCACUGGGCUUAAAGCGUAUGCAGGUGGCCAUGCAAGUCAGAAGUGAAAUCCCUGGGCUCAACCCAGGAAUUGCUUUUGAAACUGCACGGCUAGAAUCCCGGAGAGGUUAACAGAAUUCCGAGUGUAGAGGUGAAAUUCGCAGAUAUUCGGAGGAAUACCAGUGGCGCAAGCGGUUAAC